UAGCAUAUCAAUAAGCGGAGGAAAAGAAACCAACCGGGAUUGCCUUAGUAACGGCGAGUGAAGCGGCAAAAGCUCAAAUUUGAAAUCUAGUACCUUUGGUGCUCGAGUUGUAAUUUGUAGAAGGUAUCUUGGAAUGGUGGCUAGCCUAUGUUCCUUGGAAAAGGACGUCAUAGAGGGUGAGAACCCCGUAUGGCUGGGCGUGCUGUUCCUUGUAAGAUUCCUUCGACGAGUCGAGUUGUUUGGGAAUGCAGCUCUAAGUGGGUGGUAAAUUCCAUCUAAAGCUAAAUAUUGGCGAGAGACCGAUAGCGAACAAGUACAGUGAUGGAAAGAUGAAAAGAACUUUGAAAAGAGAGUGAAAAAGUACGUGAAAUUGUUGAAAGGGAAGGGCAUUUGAUCAGACAUGGUGUUUUGCGCCCUCUGUUCCUUGUGGAUAGGGGACUCUCGCAGCUCACUGGGCCAACAUCAGUUUUGGCGGCCGGAUAAAACCAUAGGAACGUAGCUUGCUUCGGUAAGUGUUAUAGCCUGUGGGCCUGCGGCCAGCCGGGACUGAGGACUGCGACUUUUGUCAAGGAUGUUGGCAUAAUGGUUAAAUGCCGCCCGUCUUGAAACACGGACCAAGGAGUCUAACGUCUAUGCGAGUGUUUGGGUGUUAAACCCGUACGCGUAAUGAAAGUGAACGUAGGUUGGGGCCUUUUCGGAGGUGCACAAUCGACCGAUCCUGAUGUUUUCAGAUGGAUUUGAGUAAGAGCAUAGCUGUUGGGACCCGAAAGAUGGUGAACUAUGCCUGAAUAGGGUGAAGCCAGAGGAAACUCUGGUGGAGGCUCGUAGCGGUUCUGACGUGCAAAUCGAUCGUCGAAUUUGGGUAUAGGGGCGAAAGACUAAUCGAACCAUCUAGUAGCUGGUUCCUGCCGA
rnacentral:rRNA from 1 species